AUACGACCUGUGGCCAAACUCGUCAGACUUCCAGCACUUCCGGAUGGAGGUGACGCUGACCCCAAGGACUAGGGAAUUUAUUCUCACACAUAUUAGCUAUGCUAAUCUGGGGGCGGCUGUUCUAAAUUCCCUGUAAGAGUAUACGGGAAGGACUUUUGUCAUGAAACAUCUUAUAGUGUAUUUCCACUGGGUGGCGCUAGUUUUCGCUAUUCCGCUAUUGUGUUUUUACUUUCACUUUUGCCAGCCGUUUGCUCCGCCAUUUCUUCAGGUGUUAAUGUGCGUGAUUGAAUAAAGACCACAUUUAAUACCUUGCACAUAACUGAAUGAUGCCAAAUAUGCAAACAAAUAUAAAGAGUUGAACUGUU